CUACGCUCCCCGGUCCACGUCGGGGCCCCGACCGGAAGCGCGGCCCUGGAAAGGCAAGGGGCGCGAGAGGGGCCGGGCCUACGUCUCUGCGCCGCAGGGACCCCGGAAUGGACCUGACGUUGGGCUGAGCACUGACCUCAGAGUACGUGGGGAGUUUCUUGCCUUUUGGGAGGUCUGAGGUCUUCUGCCAGCAUUCAUGUGGCAAAUUGUUUUCAAAGAUGGCGCCAACAAUUCCAUCCUCCCUGUGACCUCAUGCCACUCCUCCCAGCAAGUGGUGGAAGAUAUCUCUCCUCCCCUUGAACCGAGCCUGUCUCUGUGACUUGAUUUGACCAAAAGAAUGUGGAGGAAGGGAUGCUCUGCCAGUUCCAGGCCCAGGCCUUGCAAGACCUGAUAGUGUCUGCUUUUGGCCUCUUGGGAUUUGGCCACCAUGGAUAUGCUCAGGCCAGAGAGCUGAACGACAAGAGCCUGCCUGGGGAGGGAGAGGCCCGGUCAGCUCCCUGCUCUUCCAGCCCCAGCCAAGGAGCCAGACAUGUGAGUGAAGCCAUCCUGGAUGUUCCAGCUCCAGCCAAGCUCUCAGCUAAAUGCAGCCACGUGAGUGACCUCAGCCAACUCAAUACAGAUCGGAAGAACUAACUGCCCGGCCGAGGCCAGCCAACCCACAGAAUCAUGAAAAAUAAUAAAUUUUUAUUGUUUUAAGCCA